GCCAGGAGCUUCCGUGGCGGCAACGUCGUUUGAAUGAGCUGAACAGAAGAUGAAUGCCGGGAACGGGAAGAACGGUGGCGCGCAGAAAAAUAAAAAAAAGUAAAAGUGUCCGUGCGUGUCUUUGAGCGAGAGUGGAAGCGUUUCUUUCGGUUUGCAUCCGCUACCUUACCAUCGCUGCAUUCGAGAGUUGCAACGCGCUCUCCUUCUUGUCCGCCUUUGUAUCCAGUUUGCGUGAAGACGUAAAUAAAACGACACGCAAUUUAUUCGCCGAAGCCAAGCGCUGCCAGUUUCCUCCGUGAGAACAUAUAUCCGCAGGUUGCUCGCUUUCCGCAGGAAACACAUACAAGAGUGGUUUUCUUUCUCCUCUUGGCCACCUUCCUUUACACGCUCGUGAAUACGAAUCUCGCCCAAAAUGUUCCAAGCAAAUAGUUCAGCAGGGAGAGACAGGACUAGAACAAGUUUUCCACGAGAAACUUUGCAAUCACGACAAAGAGACGCGUGAUGCACGCGUGAUUCUUCGUACUUUCGUUUGACGGGUGUGCGAGUUCAUUCUUUCACCAUGCGAGACGGAAACUGUUUCGUACCAAUCCUUUUGUCCUAGUGGCUGCCGUUGCCUUUAAGGUUUGAGUGGUUUCGGGGGCCGUACUCCGUGGAAAGAAUCGUCGGUGGAAGUUCGCUUUGACCGGUUAAGGUAUAAUUUUCGGAUAGUUCCCAGGCACUUUCAGCCAGACCACUUGUCAGUGAAACCAAUUUCGCUCGAAAAAACUUUGGAACCCGAGUUCAC
rnacentral:misc_RNA from 1 species